rnacentral:rRNA from 1 species
UACGAAGGGGGCUAGCGUUGCUCGGAAUCACUGGGCGUAAAGGGUGCGUAGGCGGGUCUUUAAGUCAGGGGUGAAAUCCUGGAGCUCAACUCCAGAACUGCCUUUGAUACUGAAGAUCUUGAGUUCGGGAGAGGUGAGUGGAACUGCGAGUGUAGAGGUGAAAUUCGUAGAUAUUCGCAAGAACACCAGUGGCGAAGGCGGCUACCUGGACCGGUUCUGACGCUGAGGCGCGAAAGCGUGGGUAGCAAACAGG